GACGAACGCUGGCGGCGUGCUUAACACAUGCAAGUCGAACGGAAAGGCCCUGCUUUUGUGGGGUGCUCGAGUGGCGAACGGGGGAGUAACCCGUGAGUAACCUGCCCUUGACUUUGGGAUAACUUCAGGAAACUGGGGCUAAUACCGGAUAGGAGCUCCUGCGGCAUGGUGGGGGUGGGAAAGUUUCGGCGGUGGGGGAUGGACUCGCGGCUUAUCAGCUUGUUGGUGGGGUAGUGGCUUACCAAGGCUUUGACGGGUAGCCGGCCUGAGAGGGUGACCGGCCACAUUGGGACUGAGAUACGGCCCAGACUCCUACGGGAGGCAGCAGUGGGGAAUAUUGCACAAUGGGCGGAAGCCUGAUGCAGCAACGCCGCGUGCGGGAUGACGGCCUUCGGGUUGUAAACCGCUUUCGCCUGUGACGAAGCGUGAGUGACGGUAAUGGGUAAAGAAGCACCGGCUAACUACGUG
rnacentral:rRNA from 1 species